CCUCCAGACGAGAUGCUCAGGUGGAGCUUUGGUUCAGUGAAGACAGGUAAAGGUUUCUGGGUUCAGGUUACAGCCACAGCUGGACCUCAGGACCAGGAGACCCGAAACGCUGAAAACAGUCACUUCUGAGACCUGACAAUGACCUGAAGGUCAGAUCUCCAUCAGACCUGAAGGUCACACCUCAGGAAAACCCAUCGUCCUCCUGUAGAUGUUCCAGUUCCUCCCAGAGCAGGUCCAGAGCUGAGGACACCUGAGGACACCUGAGGACACCUGAGGACACCUGAGGACACUGACCGCCUCUCACCUGUCCUUUGGACAACUUGCAGACUCUGUUUUUGCACAAACAUCUCCACCUGCUGAGAACAUCAACAAAGAACUCCACCAACAGCUUGAACAACAAUCUAAAGUCCUCAGUGAUGAAGAGUCUCCAGGUCCGGAGACCGAGCUCUGCACUGCCUCUAGUGGUCCAAUGAUGUCAUUACACCCCACAAACAUCAGAACCAAAAGAGAAAAUCAAUCCUUUGAUCAAAAAAAUCAGUAAAUGUUAACUCUGUCUUGGAUUCCAACACAAAGAUGUAUGACGUAAAGUGACUCGUGUCGUGUCUGCAGGAGGACCAUCAUCUUGAUGUUUGUGCGGCGUUCCUUCCUGCCGCCGUCUACAGCGGGUACAUGAGCUCCGGGCGUGUGGAUGACCAGCUGAGCAGAAAAUCUGGGCUCUGCGUUUCUAUGACUCGUGUCAGUUGAGCUCAAAUUCCCGAGAGUCCGUUCAGGGAGAAUCCAAGCCGACAGAUGUGGGAUCAGGUCCCUGAACGCGUCGCUGCUGCCCUCUGGGCGCGUUCAAUGACCUCUCGUACCAGGAGGCGUCACGGCGAUCACAAGAGGAGCCUCUGAGGCUCCGCCUCCAGAGACAGAGAUGUUCAUCGUCAGUUCUUCAUUUCCUGCUGAAGCUUUCAUCGUGUGAGGAGGCCACACCCCCUAUGGAUUUAGACCACGCCUCCUGCUCUGGAGCUGCAGGCUGUGGUUCUGCUCUGAGCUUCAGCUUCCUCUGAAGCUUCCUUCAAAGGAGAUCUGAGCAGAACCGAAGGCUUUUGGGUCACGUCUGCUCGUCAGUCACACUUUCUGCUUGUUUGGAGGCCAAAAUAAGAAUAAAGCUGCAGAGCGUCCAGGAAAACAUCUCCUCAGGGUCCCAAACUUCACGUCCUCACAACAGCUGGGACGAUCCGUCGUGUUUCUGUGCACGAAGCCAAACCUCCUGAAGCUCUCAGAAACACAGACGGGGUUCCUGAUGGAAGACAAACACGUUUCGUCUGUCCUUCAGGACUAACCGGCAUCAUUUCAGGGGAGAAUUCCCUUCAGCUUCAAAGCAGAAGCAGAACUUUCAAACUACAGAGUAAAACUCUUCUUUAGGAGGAAGUGGAGCCGAGCUUCCUCCCCGGAUGUUGUAUUUACUGAAACAUUCCCAGAGGAGAUAAACUGUCAGUAAUUUGCAGCUAAUCGUGAAGGUGUUACUGAACCCACAGAAGCAAAUGAGUAAACAAGUCUUCUGCCUCGGAGGCAGAAAUAUUA